AAUUGGCUAACCCGUGAUUCUCAAUCUUAAAGGAACAGUUUCCUUACCCAGUAGGACCCGGUUCCUCCACCCAUCCUGGGUCAAAGGGAAGGGAGCUGGUGGAGACAGAUGUGCCUUGAGAUGGUGGUGGGAGAGAAGGGGAAGAACGCCAACAGUGUCAGUGACAAGUUGAGAGAGGAUCCUGCUCAAAUAGAGGGACUAGAUGCACAGCCAGAAAUGGGCUUCAUGAGAGAAGAUCUGACGAUGAAUCAAAGCUGUUUCCUCCUGGAAGACUAGACAGAUGGUCCUGUCAUCACAAAGAGAAUCAUUGGAAGAAGUAUGGGGAGGAUGAUAACCAUCCGACCUGCUUUCCCAGGUCUCUGGGGAAGACAACAGAAAAUGCUGGAUGUAAAACUGCACUCUACAUUCUGCCAGUGCAAGACCAAAUACAGGAAGCCCUUGAUCUAGGGGAGGAUGGCACAGACCUUGGUGGUUAAGACACCGUACACUUUUGUUCUGUACUGCAUUCAAGGGGUUCUCAAAAACAUUAUUUUGCUUGAUGAUUAAAAUUCUGACAGGCAAACAAA